rnacentral:rRNA from 1 species
GAUGAACGCUGGCGGCGUGCCUAAUACAUGCAAGUCGAGCGAACAGACGAGGAGCUUGCUCCUCUGACGUUAGCGGCGGACGGGUGAGUAACACGUGGAUAACCUACCUAUAAGACUGGGAUAACUUCGGGAAACCGGAGCUAAUACCGGAUAAUAUAUUGAACCGCAUGGUUCAAUAGUGAAAGACGGUUUUGCUGUCACUUAUAGAUGGAUCCGCGCCGCAUUAGCUAGUUGGCAAGGUAACGGCUUACCAAGGCAACGAUGCGUAGCCGACCUGAGAGGGUGAUCGGCCACACUGGAACUGAGACACGGUCCAGACUCCUACGGGAGGCAGCAGUAGGGAAUCUUCCGCAAUGGGCGAAAGCUUGACGGAGCAACGCCGCGUGAGUGAUGAAGGUCUUCGGAUCGUAAAACUCUGUUAUUAGGGAAGAACAAAUGUGUAAGUAACUAUGCACGUCUUGACGGUACCUAAUCAGAAAGCCACGGCUAACUACGU